UACGGGGGGGGCAAGCGUUGUUCGGAAUUACUGGGCGUAAAGGGUUCGUAGGUGGCUUGCUAAGUCAGACGUGAAAUCCCUCAGCUUAACUGGGGAACUGCGUCUGAGACUGGUGAGCUUGAGUGCAGGAGAGGAACGCGGAAUCCCAGGUGUAGCGGUGGAAUGCGUAGAGAUCCGGAAGAACACCGGUGGCGAAGGCGGCCCGCUGGGCAGAGACUGACGCUGAGGCGCGACAGCGUGGGGAGCAAACAGG
rnacentral:rRNA from 1 species